UAAAACCUUCAGAAGGAAAGGAGAAUGUUUUGUGAACCAUCUUUUUUUGUGUG
rnacentral:miRNA from 1 species